AGUGAACGCUGGCGGUAGGCCUAACACAUGCAAGUCGAACGGCAGCACAGUAAGAGCUUGCUCUUACGGGUGGCGAGUGGCGGACGGGUGCGGAAUACAUCGGAAUCUACUUUUUCGUGGGGGAUAACGUAGGGAAACUUACGCUAAUCCCGCAUACGACCUACGGGUGAAAGCAGGGGAUCUUCGGACCUUGCGCGAUUGAAUGAGCCGAUGUCGGAUUAGCUAGUUGGCGGGGUAAAGGCCCACCAAGGCGACGCUCCGUAGCUGGUCUGAGAGGAUGAUCAGCCACACUGGAACUGAGACACGGUCCAGACUCCUACGGGAGGCAGCAGUGGGGAAUAUUGGACAAUGGGCGCAAGCCUGAUCCAGCCAUACCGCGUGAGUGAAGAAGGCCUUCGGGUUGUAAAGCCCUUUUGUUGGGAAAGAAAAGCAGCAGGUUAAUACCCCGCUGUUCUGACGGUACCCAAAGAAUAAGCACCGGCUAACUUCGUG
rnacentral:rRNA from 1 species